CGGAGCGGCCGCUGUGCAGUCCUUUUCCGUUCGUGCUUCUGCUCUACGGGUUCUUGGUCAGGCCCAGGAUUCUGGAAACAGGCUCUCGAGUCACAAGGAAUGUCGCACCAUCAGAAAUCUAAAGAAGCGAUUUUCUAGCAAAGCUGCCGGACUUUCACUUAGAAUUUAUUUUGUUGAAUAUUCACUGUGCUGUGGCUAUAGGACCUAAAAAUGUGUGCCAAAUUCUGACACCAUGUCAUGUCUGCAGAGAGGGAAAGGAUCAAUAGCAGAUAGGGUUGCUGUUCCCCUGGUCGAGGCAGGGAAUCCCCUGCUCACAGCUUCCAUCCCCUGGCCAGGGGCAGAAGAGACAUAGGAAUGGACCUCCCAGGGUGCACUCUUGGUGUGGUGUGAUGAUGUCACUUCCUGGAGUUGCAUCAUUGCAGACCCUAGGCAUGCUCCCAGGCUUUGCAUUAGGCCAAUUCAACUCAUUUAGGGGCCCAAAUCGGCCAGCAGGAAGCCUGGGAGGAAGGAGCCUGUACAAGGAUGUCACUCCCCCGGGAGUGUGAAACUGGAGGUGAGUGCUGGGUCUCUCCCGCCCCCUGCCAGGUUAAAAGAACCUAGCAAACCUAAUAGCAGAGGCGGCAGUGAUUGCAAGCACUACACUUACUGGAGAACACACAGCCAAGUAACUGAAGAAGCCAAACCUAGGCCUCCUCUUCCUGAUCAAAAAUAGUAUUCCAUAAUGCCAAAGAUAGAAUUUUCAAAUCCUAUUUGGCACAGUUGCGCAAAAUGUAAUUAAUAAAGUGAACUGUGAUAUGUUCAUUCUUCUACUCUGCUAGCUUUUGAAAAAGUGAAUGGUUAGUACCAUAAUUCACUGAAGCAUCUAUGCUGAAACCUAAGUCAUGAUAGUCCUUUUUUGUUUCAACACACGACAUAAUUGAUCUUUUUAGGGAGAGUGAAUUUUCAAACGUAUUUUUAUAUAGUCCUUGAGUGGUGAAAUAAUAUGUAGCUCUAGGCAAGAUAUAGUGGUUUCCUUUGUUAGAUGUUGUUAAGGGAUUUUAAGGAAAAGAGUCUUGCCUAUAUACUUGUAAUUUCUAUAAAGGCAUGAAUUUCUAAGUUGGUCCUGCCUGGCGUAAUUCUCAAAACAAUUAUUAUACUGUACUGUGUUGUUCUAUCGCAUUUUGUAAAUAAAGGACAUUGACAAAUGAA